GUCCCUACAGACCCACAAGGCCAAGCAGUCCCGGGUUCGCGCCCUGAAACCCUCCUUUCAGCGUAGCUCGCACCCGCAGACAACAUAAUUACCGCGCUCGCUAGGUGACGUCCGCGGGGGACCACAGACGCGCGGUGCCACCAGAAGGACUCUCAUUAGGCAAGCGGUGACAGCCCGGAGCGUGGCGCUGGACCGGUCAGGCAGCCAGACUCGGACACUUGAAUUGCUCGAAGAAGACUAUCUGCAGUCGUAAUGGCUCUCUGCUGAGAACACAGGAAGAUUCAGUCACUGUGACAUCAGACCAGCUGCUGCUUGGAUUCCUGCAACCAUUUUCCCACAAGACUAACCAUGCUAUUCGAAACUCUCCGACAAUAUUUGGAACGCCAAUGCUUGUUUUCACGUGACUCAAGGAGGCUGAAAUCCACCAAGCAAAUCCAGUAUAUAAAAUCCAGGUGGAUAGGUUAAGUUCACGUUCUGCUAAAUGUUCUUUGAUUUCAAAGAAUUGGGCCGAAUGAGGCCACCAGUUCUAACGUGGAGGCAUAUGGGAAGGGACCAAGGGGAGAGCUGGGGGUGAGCAUUCAAGUGUUUCUGCACCUGUCACUGCACCUCACAGAGUCACAAAUGUAUUCUACUGAAGUCAGGGAUGCUGAGCAUGAAAAGAAAGCUUUUACUCUGAGUAUGCGGUGC
rnacentral:lncRNA from 1 species